AACGAACGCUGGUGGCAUGCCUAACACAUGCAAGUCGAACGAGACCUUCGGGGCUAGCGGCGCACGGGUGCGUUACUCGUGGGAACCUGCCCUUAGGUUCGGUACAACUCCCCGAAAGGGGUUCUAAUACCGGAUCAUGUCUUCGGACCAAAGAUUUCUCGCCUUUGGAUGGGCCCGCGUUGGAUUAGCUAGUUGGUAGGGUAAAAGCCUACCAAGGCGACGAUCCAUAGCUGGUCUGAGAGGAUGAUCAGCCACACUGGGACUGAGACACGGCCCAGACUCUUUAGAGUGUGAGCAGGGCGGAGUAUUGGGAAAUGUAAGACAUCCUGAGCCAGCACAGCCACGUGGGUCAUGAAGGCGUUAGAGCUCACAAAGAUUUUAUAACGGGCUGCCAUUGUCAAUACCGGGAGAACACGCACCGGCUCACUCCGUG
rnacentral:rRNA from 1 species